rfam:Flavobacteriaceae bacterium TMED212 88278, whole genome shotgun sequence.
UAUAUUUGCAUGCAUUUCACAUAAAAAUUAUUAAAAAAAUAAUGGCAUG